AACGCUGGCGGCGUGCCUAAUACAUGCAAGUCGAACGAGUUCUGAUUAUUGAAGGGUGCUUGCAUCUUGAUUUAAUUUUGAACGAGUGGCGGACGGGUGAGUAACACGUGGGUAACCUGCCCUUAAGUGGGGGAUAACAUUUGGAAACAGAUGCUAAUACCGCAUAAAUCCAAGAACCGCAUGGUUCUUGGCUGAAAGAUGGCGUAAGCUAUCGCUUUUGGAUGGACCCGCGGCGUAUUAGCUAGUUGGUGAGGUAACGGCUCACCAAGGCAAUGAUACGUAGCCGAACUGAGAGGUUGAUCGGCCACAUUGGGACUGAGACACGGCCCAAACUCCUACGGGAGGCAGCAGUAGGGAAUCUUCCACAAUGGACGCAAGUCUGAUGGAGCAACGCCGCGUGAGUGAAGAAGGCUUUCGGGUCGUAAAACUCUGUUGUUGGAGAAGAAUGGUCGGCAGAGUAACUGUUGUCGGCGUGACGGUAUCCAACCAGAAAGCCACGGCUAACUACGUGCCAGCAGCCGC
rnacentral:rRNA from 2 species